GACGUAGGUGGCGAACGUUAUCCGGAAUUAUUGGGCGUAAAGGGUGCGUAGAUGGCCUGAUAAGUUAGCAGUGGUAAAUCGAGGCUCAACCUCGUGGAAACUGAUAAUACUGUCUGGCUCGAGUACAGAAGAGGUUAACGGAAUUCCAUGUGGAGCGGUAAAAUGCAUAGAUAUAUGGAAGAACACCAAUAACGGCGAAGGCAGUUAACUAUUCUGUUACUGACAUUGAGGCACGAAAGCGUGGGGAGCAAAACGG
rnacentral:rRNA from 1 species